GUUGUCCGCAACCAACCUUCCGCGUCGACAGGCAAACGAGCACUGAGAAUUGUGAAAAGCAGCGAGUAACUCUGCCACCGACGAGGCCUCCUUAUAUAUGUAGUUGCUUUAUGCCCAUAGCAAUGCGAUCCAUCGCUUAUAUAUGUACAAGCCGAUCGCGGAGCAUAAGUACUCCAACGGAGUACUCGAAAUCAAGCAUUUUGCGUCUCAUUAUGAGACCUGUGUGGGCACCCG
rnacentral:lncRNA from 1 species